AUACGGAUGGUGCGAGCGUUGUUCGGAAUUACUGGGCGUAAAGGGCGCGUAGACGGCGAUGUAAGUCAAAUGUGAAAGUCCUCGGCUUAACCGGGGAAGUGCAUCUGAAACUGCAUUGCUUGAGUAUGGGAGAGGAAAGUGGAAUUCCCGGUGUAGAGGUGAAAUUCGUAGAGAUCGGGAGGAAUACCGGUGGCGAAGGCGACUUUCUGGACCAAUACUGACGCUGAGGCGCGAAAGCGUGGGGAGCAAACAGGAUUAGAAACCCUAGUAGUCC
rnacentral:rRNA from 1 species